ACAGACAAAUAAACAGCCAGCCAGUCAGCCAGCCAGCAACAAUGGCAAUAGCUCUACAGGAACAGAAACAGAAACGUUAACGUAAACGUCAACGUUAAAAACAUCACCAAAUGAAGAUGUAUUUGCUUCAUACACAAACGUUUUGUUGUCUUCACAUAAACGCCAUUGUCGUCAGUCAGUGAGUUUUGUGCGGUGUCGUGACUCUGGCCGCCGUUUAGUUCCUUUCUGGCUGCUGCUGUCAAAUGUCGUCAUGUUUAGCUAAAUGAACGCGCGACACGGCUUAACUUGGAUUAUAAUAUACUUAAUAACAACACAACAAUUAAUCAAAAUCAA